CUGAUAUGUGCCGAUCAGCAAGACAUCUUGUAUUUUGUAAGGCUCACAGAUGAAAGGGACUUGCCUUGUCUCAAAUGAAACUUCGGACUUCACACUUUUGAGUUAAUGCUGGAAUGAGUUAAGACUUUGGGGGACUGUUGAGAGGGAUGAUUGCAUUUUGUAAUGUGAGAAGGACAUGAAAUUUGGAAGGGUCAGGGGUGGAAUGAUAUAGUUUGAAUCUGUGUCCACACCUAAUCUUAAAUCAAAUCACAAUCUCUAGUGUUGAAGAUGGGGCCUGGUGGGAGGUGACUGGAUCAUGGGGAAGGAGUUCUCAUGAAUGGUUUAGCACCAUUAUCUUGGUGUUGUUCUCAUGAUAGAGUUCUCACAAGACCUGUUUGUUUAAAAGUGUGUAGCACCUCCCACCUUGCUCUCUUUUGGUCCUGCUCCUGCUUUGCCUUCUGUAAUGAGUAAAAGCUCCCCGAGGCCUCCCCAGAAGCAGACGCUGCCAUGCUUCCUGUACAACCUGCAGAACUGUGAGCCAAUUAAAU
rnacentral:lncRNA from 1 species